UUGCCACCAACUGCCUUUGGGGAAUUGGUUCAGUGCUCUUACAUUUCAGCCUUGAACAUGUUGGGAAGACUUAGGAGUCUAUUGGGUAGAAAGAAUAGAGAGGGAAGAGAGACAAGAGAGAGGCAGACACAAACUGCCCUUCAGCCUCAAUGUAAAACAUCAAGAAAAAAAUGGUCCAGAAGAUGGUAUAGUAAGUUCAGGGCAGGAAAUUGGCAUCUUCCUGAAGGACAUGGGUGUGGUGAAUCUUCCAGUAACAGGACAUAGGAGGUAGGAGUCUCUGGGAACCAACUGGACUUCCCUGCUUGUCAUGGCUCCUGAAAUUCAAGGAUUCUAGAAGAGUAAUUUGUCUGUCCCAGAAGUCAAGAGGCCCUCCAAGGAGCCACCACCCACUCCAACCAGCCUCACAAAGAGACAAGUGAAGCAGAAGGUGAAGAGCCUGACCAGUCAGCUUCAGGUGAUGACCGCCCAACGGAAUGAUCUGAGAGAUCGCCUCAUCUUAGUAACCGAAGGAACCUUGGACAACAGGAGCAGCAAAGAAUGGAAGAGAGACUCCAGAGCCUGCUGAAGCAGAGGGAGCUGGUCACACAGCAAAAACACCUGGCAAUAAAGCUGCAGCAUCAUUUGACUGUCUCCCAGAUGAGGUCAGAAAAUCUCCAACAUGAGCUGGAACAUUCCACAGCUCAGGAUGAGAGCCUCCUGCCGACAGAGCUGCUGCAGCAGGAGCACUAAGUGUCAUAAGCAACACCCUUUAUGAGAACUGAGGAGGCUGAAGGAAUCCAUAGUCAACUAGAAACCCUGACAUUCUCCACUCUAUGAUCAAGGCCUCCUCAGAACAAGACAUGUACUACUAGUUGUGAAAUCACCAGUGAGGCAAAUAUCAUCUGCCCUGAAGGUCAUCCAUCAAUAAUCUGAUCCACGUGACUGUUGACUCCCUAGUUAUAGAAUAAAGAAACCAUCAAGAAGAUGCUUGAGAUUCAAAAAAUAAACACCAAGAGUUAUGCAGAGAAAGCUGACAUCUACCAGCAAGUGUUCCCAGUGAGGGCCACAACAACAUGGAGAGAAUAUGUUUCCGCUCAU